GACAGAGGUGCCGAGCGUUAGGCGGAAUCACUGGGCUUAAAGCGUGUGUAGGCGGACUUCUAAGUACCUUGUGAAAUCCCACGGCUCAACCGUGGAACUGCUUGGUAUACUGGUCGUCUUGAGCCAUCUAGGGGCUGUCGGAACAAAUGGUGGAGCGGUGAAAUGCGUAGAUAUCAUUUGGAACGCCAAAGGUGAAAACAGACAGCUGGGGAUGUGCUGACGCUGAGACACGAAAGCCAGGGGAGCAAACGGG
rnacentral:rRNA from 1 species